rnacentral:rRNA from 1 species
GACGAACCCGUGCGAACGUUAUUCGGAAUCACUGGGCUUAAAGCGCGUGUAGGCGGAUGCUUAAGUGCCUUGUGAAAUCCCACGGCUUAACCGUGGAACUGCUGGGCAUACUGGGUGUCUUGAGGUGCCUAGGGGUCGCUGGAACAAACGGUGGAGCGGUGAAAUGCGUAGAUAUCGUUUGGAACGCCAAAGGUGAAAACAGGCGACUGGAGGCAAACUGACGCUGAGACGCGAAAGCCAGGGGAGCAAAC